rnacentral:rRNA from 1 species
CAGUCGCCGCGGUAAUACGAGGGGGGCAAGCGUUAUCCGGAAUGAUUGGGCGUAAAGCGUCUGUAGGUGGCUUUUCAAGUCCGCCGUCACAUCCCAGGGCUCAACCCUGGACAGGCGGUGGAAACUACCAAGCUGGAGUACGGUAGGGGCAGAGGGAAUUUCCGGUGGAGCGGUGAAAUGCGUCGAGAUCGGAAAGAACACCAACGGCGAAAACACUCUGCUGGGCCGACACUGACACUGAGAGACGAAAGCUAGGGAAGAAAAUGGGAUUAGAGACCCCUGUAGUCCCUGUCUCUUAUAC